GUGCCCGUAGCUCAGCUGGAUAGAGCGUUGGCCUCCGGAGCCAAAGGUCAGGCGUUCGAAUCGCCUCGGGCACGCCA
rnacentral:tRNA from 2 species